rnacentral:rRNA from 1 species
CCUACGGGAGGCAGCAGUGGGGAAUAUUGGACAAUGGGGGCAAGCCUGAUCCAGCAAUGCCGCGUGGGUGAAGAAGGCCUUCGGGUUGUAAAGCCCUUUUGUACGGGAAGAAAGCAUUCGGGUUAAUACCCUGGGUGGAUGACGGUACCGAAGAGAAGCCUGUC